AUCGGAGAAGAGGAGAAGGUGCUCCAAGACACGAGUGACAUCUUCGACAAGACCAUCAACUAUUUCUAUGUAGAUAAACAACGUGUCACGCCACAGCAAUUCUUCCACGUCUGGGCGGUGUUUCUGCACGAUUGCAAAUACUUCUGGAAGCUGGCACAUCGCCGUCUGGCCAAGGAGAGGUUCGAACUCGAGUUCAAGUACAAAGGUCAACUGUCGGCGAGUUCCCUCCAGGGUUAUGGUACAUUCCGCGCUGGCGUGCUCCAAGGUUUGGACUCCAAUAAUGUCAACGACCCAAAAACGUCGACAGCUCAGGGUAAUA